UUGAGCCGUAUGCCAUGAAAGUGGCACGUACGGUUCUAAGAGGGGGAAAGUCCGAGAGGACCUACCUAUCUCAAC
rnacentral:ncRNA from 1 species